AUGAGGCCACCGGACAUGGGUGACCCUGGCGGCAGCUCCUCGUCCCGGCCACACGGCAAGCAGGAGCUGCAGCCGGAGGUGGUUCUCUACACGGCGUCACCUUCAGCUUCGCGCCGCAGACCACGCACCUCCGCCGACCGCUACGCCUUGUGCGCCCUGCUGCGCGGCUACGGCCUGGCCGUGGACGUGCGCGACGUGUCCAGGAGCAAAGCGCACCGCAGCGAGCUCAAGUCGUUGCUCGCGGCUCGGGGCUGCGCCUUCUCCCUCCCGCAGCUCCUCGUGGGCGGCCGGCUCGUCGGUGGCCCUGACGAUGUCAGGCAGCUGCACCAGGCCGGCGGGCUGCGGCCCCUCCUCGACGCCGCCCCAAGGCCGAGCCGCGCCUUCGUCUGCCAAGCCUGUAAGAGGGUCGGCUCCGAGCCGUGCCCAAAGUGCAGGGAAUCUCGCAACAAGAUGCUGGAUCAUGGCAUUACUGAGGAGGCGGAGGAGAGGGUCGUCCUUUUCUAUCCAACCCAAGAUGUUUCAAUAGGAGGUAGAGGCAGAGAGAUGGAUGCCAGUAGCAGUGUUUCUCUGGGUGCCAUGAGACCCCUUCUUAAGAAGCUUGACAUGAUGCUAGGUCUUAAUGGAUGCAAGCUGACCAAGGGGGUCAAUGAUAGGUCGCAGCUCCUCAAAGAUGAUCUUGAAGAAAUAGGCGCAUACCUUGAAGAUCUGUUAGAGGUGGAGGACCCUCCCCUGGCGGCCAAGUGUUGGAUGAAAGAAGCACGGGAGUUAUCUUAUGACAUCCAAGAUUGCAUUGACAACUUUGUGCCCCCUGAGUCUCUUGGCUACAAAUCUGACAACAAGAUGACUCAUGUUAAGAUUCCCAAGAGACUCAAGUGGCAGAAACAGAUUGAAUAUGCAGCUCCUGAUGUGUCAGGACAUGUUAUCUCCAAAAUCAUUCGUUUUGAUGUCAUUCGUGCUCCCAGGAAGCUCAAGUGGUACCACCAGAUGGUUGAAAAGGUAUCAGAAUUCAGGAUCUAUGCCCGGGAGGCGAUCCGACGGUACAAGAGGUACCAGCUCCAUUGUUGUAGCACCUCGGCGGCACGUAGAUUUUCAGCCAUUGGGCCUAUAAUGCCAAUGCCGCCACUACCUUGUGAGAAAACUUGUUCCGGCCUAGUAAUUGAUGGUCGGAUGAGCAAGUUUAUUAACUCUCUGGCUAACGACGCGGAUCAGCAGCUGAAGGUGGUGUCUAUUCAUGGAUUUGGAUGUCUUGGUAAAACAAUGCUUGCCAAAGUGUUGUACAAUAAAAUUGGGAGGAAAUUCCAUUGCCGUGCUUUCGUCCGGGUGUCCAAAAAGCCUGAUAUGAAGAGGCUUUUCCGCGACAUGCUAUCACAAUUCCAGCGGAAGCAGCCCCAAGCAAGCCAAGACGCUUCUGAUGAACUUCGCAUUACUGCUGAAAAUAUCAACAAUUGUCUACAUGGCAAAAGGUAUCUAGUUGUUGUUGAUGAUUUGUGGGAUACAUCAGCAUGGGAUGUUAUUAAUCAGCUUUUUCCCAAGGGUAGUCAAGGCAGCAGAAUAAUAACAACCACACAGAUUGAAGAUGUUGCACUAGCAUGUGGCUGCGAUCACCCAGAACAAGUUUUUGAGAUGAAACCUUUGGAUGAUGAUCACUCAAGGAAGCUAUUCUUUGGCAGGCUUUUUGGUUGUGAAAGUGACUGUCCUGAAGAAUUCAGACAAAUUUCAAGCCAAAUUGUAGAAAUAUGUGGUGGUUUGCCGCUAGCCACCAUCAGCAUAGCAAGUCUGCUAGCAAACCAGCCUUCUGUAUCAGUGGAUUUAUUGACGCACAUACAAGAUUCGUUAGUGUCAUGUUUGUCAUCAAAUUCAACUUCAGACAAAAUAAGCAAAGUUCUGACCGUCAGUUAUAACAGCCUACCUCAUUACCUCAAGACAUGCUUGCUUCAACUUGGUAUGUAUCCCGAGGGCUCCACAAUCUUCAAACAUGACCUGGUCAAGCAAUGGAUGGCUGAAGGGUUCAUUGUUGCAAGUGAAGGGCUAAACAUGGAGGAGGUUGCAGAAAUGUAUUUCAACGAGCUUGUUGACCGAAAAUUCAUCCAGCCUAUGUAUAUCAACUACAACAAUGAGGUGGUUUCCUGCACAGUUCACUACGUGGUACAUGAUCUUAUUGCACACAAGUCUGCAGAAGAGAAUUUUAUUGUGGUAAUAGACUACAAUCGAAAGAUUGUGGCACUUUCUCAUAAGAUCCGUCGGCUGUCUCUCCAACUUGGUGAUGCAAAAUAUGCAAAGAUACCAGCAAACAUCAGAAAGUCACAAGUACGGUCACUUGGAUUUUUCGGACUAUCAGAGUGCAUGCCUUGCAUUGGAGAGUUCAAAAUUCUCCGUGUUCUAAACCUUCAGUUUUGCGGUGUUUGUUAUGGGGAGCAUGACCUGACGAUAGACCUCACUGGAAUUUCAGAACUGUUCCAUUUGAUAUAUUUGAAGAUUGCUUCUGAUGUCUGCAUAAAACUGCCAAGCCGUAUGAGAGGUCUGCAAUGUCUGGAAACACUGGAUGUCAAGGAUACGACAAGAGGCACUCAUGUUCCAUGGGAUAUUAUAUAUCUCCCACACUUAUUGCACCUCAGUCUUCCUGCCCACUCAAAUCUGCUGGAUUGGUCCGUCAAUCCACCUGGGAGCCUUGGCUUGUUGAACCACCUGCAGGAUCUUUAUGUUUCUACACCGCAAUCUUCUGAUUCCUACAAUCUGAACCGAAUCAUGGAAGCUCUGGAUUCUUUAAUAUGUGAAGAAGGCAGCCUGAAAACUAUAAAAGUGGUGGCUCACGGAUCCUUGGUUGGGUAUGAUUACUGGUAUUUCGUCAAACGUCCCAACCAUAUCAAGAGAUUUGAGUUCUCACCGCACAAAACCGUCAUAUUUUCUCGGCUGGAUGUGUGGAUGAAACAACUUGGCAAACUAUGCAUUCUGAAGAUUGCAGUGGAUGGACUGUCAGUAAAUGAUAUUGACAUUCUUAGAGGGUUGCCUGCCCUCACUGCUCUGUCGUUGUAUAUGGAGAAGUCGCCUAAUAUUAAGAUAAUCUUUGGCACGGCUGCUGGAUUCACAGCUCUCAAGUACUUAAAGCUGAGGUUCAUGAGUGGAAUAGCUUGGCUAAAAUUUGAGGCGGGCGCAAUGCCUAAUCUCUGGAAGCUCAGGCUCGUUUUCAAUUCCAUCCCCCAAAUGGACCAACGACUUGAACUUUUUUCAAAGUUUGAUCAGUGGAAACAAUAUCGUCAUGGUACUGCAUUAAUCAGCAUCGAGCAUAUGCCACGCCUUAGAGAGGUCUCCGCAAAAUUUGGGGGUGCAGCUGCUGAUCUGAAGUAUGUGUCAAGGAUCGGGAUAGUUAGCAAUCAUCCGGGCAAUCCUAUAAUGGACGUGCAACUAGUGGAUUCUGGUUCCCAUGGUGAUAAAAGGAUAUCAGCAAGGUCACCGGAGUCCACUUCCUGCCCGAUGGAUGUUCCACUUCCAGGAGGGGGAGAGGUGUCAUGGAGCAAUAUGAUUGGUGUGAUAGGUCGUGACCUCUUCAUCUAUUGCCUCCACCGCCUCUCCAGAUGGGAAUAUGGAGCCAUCGCCUCCCUCAACCGUGAUUUCAAUUCCGUGGUUCGCAACGGGGACAUCUACCGCCUGCGUCGCAAGAAUGGGGUCGCAGAGCACUGGCUCUACCUCUCUUGCGGUAAUAAUCCUCCGGAGUGGGAGGCUUAUGACCCGUCCACUGGGCGCUCGAUCCAUGUGCCCAAGAUGCCACCGGCUGAAAGCUCCUCCAUCUGGGAGUCGCUCGCUGUAGGAACCGAGGUGCUGGUGUUUGGGGACCGCGGAAGGGCUGCCUUGAGAUAUAGCAUCCUUACCAAUUCAUGGACAUGGCUGGCUGAUGCGAUGAACACCCCGCGGUCCUGGUUUGGGUCAGCAAGUGACGGUGAAAAGGCGUAUGUCGCGGGAGGCGUUGAUUCUUCUGGUAAUGUAUUGAGCUCCGCAGAGAUGUAUGACUCGGAGACACAUACUUGGACACCCCUUCCCAGCAUGAAUAGGGCUAGGUACGGAUGCUCUGGCGCCUUCAUGGAUGGCAAGUUCUAUGUGAUGGGUGGUUUUACCAGUAGAUGGGAGCUAUUGACAUGCGGUGAGGAGUAUGACUUGGAGCGGAGGUCAUGGAGGCUCAUCGACAACAUGUCUCAGGGGCUCAGCAGAACACGUCUUCUGCUCAUUGCAGUUGUGAAGAAUGAGCUUUAUGGCGCUGAUUACAGUGAGAAUAAUGAUUUGAAGCAGUAUGAUAAGCUGGACAACAAGUGGAUCACUCUUGGAAAAUUGCCUGUACAGUCUAAGAACAACAAUUUGGGCUGGGACAUGGGUUUCCGAGCGUGUGGUGACCGGCUGAUUGUUACUGGGCCUCCAAUCAAUUCUAGUGAUGAAAAUAUGGUUGAGAUUCAUUCAUGGACCCUGGAUGGGCAACAGCCUGUGUGGAAUUUAGUUGCCACACGGCCAUACGGGGGCUCAGAUAUUGUGUGCGCCGUGAUGGGUUGCUGA
rnacentral:rRNA from 1 species